CGCAGCGCGAGGCGGCCGGCAGCCAGAAGCGCGCGGCCCCGGCGCUGCUCGCGGAGCGGGAGCGGGGCAGGCGGCUGCGGGCAGGCGCCCAGUGAGCGGCGGAGGCGGCGGGACGCCUCUGGGAAGGCUCCGGAGAAAGUCUGCAAAGAUGGAUCAUUAACAGAAGUUGUGAAAAACGCAUGCAUAUUUGUCAGCAGACAAAAGAUUUUACUCCUGAAAAGGAAAAUAAUAAAACCUGUUAAGCUGCAACAAACAACUUACAAGUUAGCGAUACAGCUCUAAAAUUAUUCAGUAAUGUUGCAACAGAAUGGGUCUUCACUUGAAAAGGUGACAAAGGGGAAAUAUUGGAGGAAGAAAGGGAGAUGAAGAACAUUGGAUUCUGCUUUUCAUAUAGCCUGGAACUGACAGUUCUUUGUUGCAUGCAGUCCAUGGAAGCCCAUCCAUUGCUGCAGAAUGUGUCCUUAUGAGCCUGAGUGAUCCAAGCCUCCAGGAUUUUACUCACUGUCCAUCCUGUUCAAGGAAGCGUUUCAGGUGCACCAGUGACUGAGUUCUGAGUGACUCUGCCUUGGCCUGUGGCUUUUUCAGUUUUGUAUCAGUGUAACCAAGACGGGAAUCAGCCCAUGGUUUCCCUCCGAUGCAUUGAACCAGUUUUGGCAUCGCGCAGCUCUUCGUACAAAGAUCCGGUGCCUUACAGCAGAGUACCAGGCUGCAGGAGGUUUGUCCAUCUUUCCUUUGGGAUCUAUUUAAACAUGGUGUUUGCUUAAAGAAAAAUACAUUGCUAGUUCCAAUUAGAUAACUGAAUCAUUCUUUUUCUUCCAUCAGAAAUUUUUGUUUAUUUUGUUUUCACUUCUAAGGGCCCAGCUUCUAAAGCAUAAUGGUGCGCAUCGAAUUAAGUGGGCUCUUUGUGAGACUGAGCUCUGAAAUUAUAAAUACCAUCUGAGUUUGUAAGCAAGUUAUAUUCUUCAGAGAAAUUUGCACUCCUCCAUUUUUAAAAUGGGGAGAAAAUGGAAUUUGCAUCAUCUGCCAAGCUCAGCGCUAUAGCUGUCUCAUGAGCCUCUUCCUGGGAGAAGCAGUAAAAAAGGCAGAAUUGAAGGAGAGACGGAGCAAAGGUGGUUGGUUGCCACUUGCCUGUGUCUUGUCUUCUGAGGAGAGCUGCCGUUUUCCCCCACAAGAAACCAGAGCAGUUCAUUACAUGCUCUGCAGCCCGCGUCACCCGCAGUAGCUGCAGUCACGCGCCGUCGCCCUGCUCACUGCAGCCCGAUACCCGUUCCUGCAUCCUGGCCGGGGAUGCAGCACGUGCUGCACUGGUCACCGCAGGGGAAACCCUCAGGGGGGAGCUUGUCCCAUCCUGCACACCCCGGAACGGGACCGUUGGUCUGUCCUUGGGCAGGGGACACAAGCCAGAGCCACUCGCUCCUCUUACAUUGACAGGAAUGGGAGAAAUUCUGCUGCUUUCGUUACUUUGGAAGAGGCGGAGAUGUUUGACCUGCUGGUUCUUGCUGCUUUUUUUUUUUUUUCCCCCCUAUUCUUUUCCCAGAAAAAUAACUUGGACAGCUGGAGCACUCAGAAAGGGCCUCUCUUUUCAUCCCAAUUAAUUAUGCAGCUGAGUCCGUGGUCUUUGAUGUUGUUGCUGUGAACACUGAUAAAACUUGAGGAGCUUUAGAGCAUGAAAGUUGCUGCAACCAGUUUUUCUUGCUGUUCAUGUGUCAAUACCCUAUCGAGUCAGCAAUUAUCUUAAACCUUUAUUGCAAGUCAAUGCAAAAUAAAGGAAAAAAUUCUCUGUAAUCAUUUUUUAUAAGGCCCUUCUGCAAGAUUCCGCUCCACAUGCAAAUUCACGUGUGCUUGCUGGGUUUCAUAGCAUUCCUGGAAUUACCGCUUAGAAUGUUUUUACUGUUAUUUCAGGUGCUGGUGAGAUACCCUGAUAAGGUUGGGAUUUAGGAGGGAAGGGCACAUCCACCCAGAGACACUUCUCACCGCACAGUGCCUAGCGUCGCUGGCAGAUUUUACCAUUCUGCGUGAUAUUGCCUCUUUUUGCAUUUGUAAUAAUAUGGCUCUUUAACAUACUGGGGAAAAAAAAAAGGUUCUGCAUUUAAAAAUGCCACAAGGAGUGAAGAUUAAGAAAGCAAGUGCAGACGCCCAGCUGUUGAAAGCAAAAGCAGUAUGAAAUUGGGGGUGGGGGCCAGAAUUAGCAUUCUCCUCACACGCUCACCGCCUGCUCUAAUCACAAUGCAGGCAUUAUCAGCGAGCGUUGAAUCUUUGUAUUAUUUCCAAGUUUCCCCUAUUGUCAGUCAUUGUGACAAAGUGCAGGACGAUCUGACACAAUGAUGAAUCACUCCAGACAUUGAGUUUUCACAUGGCUGUCAGAUGAUCUCAGUAGGCUGUGUCACCUGAAAAUGCCACAAGACUAAAGCCGUGUUGUACUUCAGAACAAAAAAAGGAGUUUGGUAUAAACUCCACUGAUUCAGGACAUAAACACGGGAGUCUGGAGGGCUGGCUCAGAUUUCUCUUACCCAGGAAAUCUCUGCAUUUUCAUCCAGUGUGAAUGCAAUCAGAAUCAGAGCUCAGGAUUUAUUAAAAUGUCUUGCAUGCAAACCAGGAAGAUAUGUUGUUUGGCUUUUUAAAUUAAAUCCCUGCAUGGAAGGAUUUGCACUGUGCAUGUUUUUUAAAAUACUCUGUUCAAGAUGUAACGCCUAUCAAAGCGUAGGGUAUUUUAUCCUAAUAGUUUCAGUUGCAUAUAUAAAAAUGAGUUUCUUGCAGUUUCUUUUUCCUGCAUGGCAAAGUUAUCUAGGAGGCUUUUU